CGCGGAGUAGAGCAGUGGUAGCUCGUCGGGCUCAUAACCCGAAGGUCAGGGGUUCAAGUCCCUUCUCCGCAA
rnacentral:tRNA from 1 species